UCUGUAGUGAGAGGCAGCGUGAUGAGAACGGCCCAUAGGGCAGGAGUCUAUCUCCUGUUUCUGUAGUGAGAGGCAGCUUGAUGAGACCGGCCCAUAGGGCAGGAGUCUAUCUCCUGUUUCUGUAGCGAGAGGCAGCGUGAUGAGAACGGCCCAUAGGGCAGGAGUCUACCUCCUGUUUCUGUAGUGAGAGGCAGCUUGAUGAGAACGGCCCAUAGGACAGGAGUCUAUCUCCUGUUUCUGUAGUGAGAGGCAGCUUGAUGAGAACGGCCCAUAGGGCAGGAGUCUAUCUCCUGUUUCUGUAGUGAGAGGCAGCGUGAUGAGAACGGCCCAUAGGGCAGGAGUCUAUCUCCUGUUUCUGUAGUGAGAGGCAGCUUGAUGAGAACGGCCCAUAGGGCAGGAGUCUACCUCCUGUUUCUGUAGUGAGAGGCAGCUUGAUGAGAACGGCCCAUAGGGCAGGAGUCUACCUCCUGUUUCUGUAGUGAGAGGCAGCUUGAUGAGAACGGCCCAUAGGGCAGGAGUCUACCUCCUGUUUCUGUAGUGAGAGGCAGCUUGAUGAGAACGGCCCAUAGGGCAGGAGUCUAUCUCCUGUUUCUGUAGUGAGAGGCAGCUUGAUGAGAACGGCCCAUAGGGCAGGAGUCUACCUCCUGUUUCUGUAGUGAGAGGCAGCUUGAUGUACAAGUACCACCUCUUGGACAGGAUGCUGGCCUAUCACAGGGCCUUAACCCCUGGACAGGACGCCAGCCUAUCACAGGGCCGUACCCCUGGACAGGACGCCGGCCUAUCACAGGGCCGUAUCCAGGACGCUUGCCCAUCACAGGGCCGUACCCAGGACGCUAGCCCAUCACAGGGCCGUACCCAGGACGCUAGCCCAUCACAGGGCCGUACCCAGGACGCUAGCCUAUCACAGGGCCUUAACCCCGAUCUUAUCUCCUUAAUGCUGAAUGUCAAGCGGAGACUUGUCAGGUUUUUCUUCGGUUUGACUCGACCAGAGAUUGAAUUCAUAACUUUCCAAUCUCAGGACACUGUAACCACAAGGCCACUGAGUUGGUCUAUGAGGCAGUUAAACAUGACCUUUAUGAAUUAUGAAGCCUUUAUGUGCUUGUUUGGAUUAUAUAAAGUGACGUUAGCUGAUCAAGAUGAUCCAAUAGAAUAAUGCAUCAGAACUCCUAAACCACAGACCUUAUUUUCAGUGUUUAUUCAUAAAAAACACACGUUUUGACCAAUGAGCCUCUGUUAAUAGAGCCCCACAGUGGAGGUGUCAUAAUACCCAUAAAACCUAGCGGUCAAACAAGGAAAUUAGAAACUUUAAAUAAGGUCUGUGUUUCGGGAAGGCUUACCAUGGCGUGAAGUUUUGAUAACCGUGUAAAUCUCUCUAGGACAAGGUGACUUUUAUCAAUAUAUUAGCCUGUAUUUACACUCAGUAAAAAAAAAAAAAUGCUAAUUAGCCUCAAAGAAGACAUCAUGCAAGACUUCAAAACCCUGCAUCUCAUCUCUAGCUGAUAUCUAACAGGUAUUGAUCCUACAGGUCUCCUCUAGCUGACACCUAACAGGUAUUGAUCCUGCAGGUCUCCUCUAGCUGAUAUCUAACAGGUAUUGAUCCUGCAGGUCUCCUCUAGCUGAUACCUAACAGGUAUUGAUCCUGCAGGUCUCCUCUAGCUGAUAUCUAACAGGUAUUGAUCCUACAGGUCUCCUCUAGCUGAUAUCUAACAGGUAUUGAUCCUGCAGGUCUCCUCUAGCUGAUACCUAACAGGUAUUGAUCCUGCAGGUCUCCUCUAGCUGAUACCUUUUCUAACAGGUAUUGAUCCUGCAGGUCUCCUCUAGCUGAUAUCUAACAGGUAUUGAUCCUGCAGGUCUCCUCUAGCUGAUACCUUUACUAACAGGUAUUGUGUCAAUUUAAAACCUGCACAAGACAGUUAACAGAAUUGUCCGUUUAAAGAAAUCUAGACAAUUUCUUCAUUACUACAUUUAACUAACAUUAGAUAGUUGAUCCAGAGAUUCUGACCUUUGCCUCGAUUCGUCAGUCUCAUCCAGAUCAUCCAGAGCCGUACCUUCAGGCUCUGAUCAGGCCCUACACCCAAACAAGGGCACUGCGUUCAUCCACCUCUGGCCUGCUGGCCCCCCUACCUCUGAGGAAGCACAGUUCCCGCUCAGCCCAGUCAAAACUGUUCGCUGCUCUGGCACCCCAAUGGUGGAACAAGCUCCCUCACGACGCCAGGACAGCGGAGUCAAUCACCACCUUCCGGAGACACCCGAAACCCCACCUCUUUAAGGAAUACCUGGGAUAGGAUAAAGUAAUCCUUCUACCCCCCCUAAAAGAUUUAGAUGCACUAUUGUAAAGUGGUUGUUCCACUGGAUAUCAUAAGGUGAAUGCACCAAUUUGUAAGUCGCUCUGGAUAAGAGCGUCUGCUAAAUGACUUAAAUGUAAAUGUAAAUCAUCAUGGAAUUUGUAGUUCUUUAUGAUAUCCACAUUAGCAGCUAAUUAGCAUUUCAUUGGGGGGGAAAUUCAGGCUAAUAUAUUGAUAAAAGUCACCUUGUCCAAGAGAGAUUUACAUGGUUAUCAAAACGUCACGCCAUGGUAAGCCUACACGAAAUACAGCCCUUAUUUUAAGUGUUUCUAAAAUCCCCUACGGGGAAAAAUGACUGGUGGAAAAACGAUUGGAACCAUUUCCUUGUUUGACCGCUAGGUUUUAUGGGUAUUAUGACUCAUACUGUGGUACUCUAUGCCUACGAAAAUACAGCCAUGGUCACCUUCGAUGCAACUGGUUUGCAUCUCUCUGUCACCCCAGAGCUCACUGCCAUGGUUACCGCCAGUAAAUCAGUCUCUCUCUCUCCCUCUCACACACACCCAGACACUGUUGCACUAUGAAGUUAUUCUGCUCAAACAAUGCACUAGUAAAAGUGUUUCCUGUAGAUUGUUUAGUCACUGGAUGUUUAGUAAAGAACAGUAGAGUGGUGUAGAGAACAGUAGAAUGGUGUAGAGAACAGUAGAAUGGUGUAGAGUAGAGAACAGAGUGGUGUAGAGUAGAGAACAGUAGCGUAGAGUGGUGUAGAGAACAGUAGAGUAGAGAACAGUAGAGUGGUGUAGAGUAGAGAACAGUAGAGUGGUGUAGAGUAGAGAACAGUAGAGUGGGUAGAGUAGAGAACAGUAGAGUGGUGUAGAGUAGAGAACAGUAGAGUGGUGUAGAGUAGAGAACAGUAGAGUGGUGUAGUGUAGAGAACAGUAGAGUGGUGUAGAGUAGAGAACAGUAGAGUGGUGUGUAGAGAACAGUAGAGUGGUGUAGAGGAGAGACCAGUAGAGUGGUGUAGCGUAGAGAACAGUAGAGUGGUGUAGAGUAGAGAACAGUAGAGUGGUGUGGUGUAGAGUAGAGAACAGUAGAGUGGUGUAGAGUAGAGAACAGUAGAGUGGUGUAGAGUGGAGUGGUGUAGAAUACAGAACAGUAGAGUGGUGUAGAGAACAGUAGAGUGGUGUAGAGUAGAGAACAGUAGAGUGGUGUAGAGUAGAGAACAGUAGAGUGGUGUAGAGAACAGUAGAGGGGUGUAGAGUAGAGAACAGUAGAGUGGUGUAGAGUAGAGAACAGUAGAGUGGUGUAGAGUAGAGAACAGUAGAGUGGUGUAGAGUAGAGAACAGUAGAGUGGUGUAGAGUAGAGAACAGUAGAGUGGUGUAGAAUAGAGAACAGUAGAGUGGUGUAGAGUAGAGAACAGUAGAGUGGUGUAGAAUAGAGAACAGUAGAGUGGUGUAGAGUAGAGAACAGUAGAGUGGUGUAGAAUAGAGAACAGUAGAGUGGUGUAGAGAACAGUAGAGUGGUGUAGAGUGGUGUAGAGUAGAGAACAGUAGAGUGGUGUAGAGUAGAGAACAGUAGAGUGGUGUAGAAAACAGUAGAGUGGUGUAGAGUGGUGUAGAGUAGAGAACAGUAGAGUGGUGUAGAGUAGAGUGGUGUAGAGUAGAGAACAGUAGAGUGGUGUAGAGUAGCGAACAGUAGAGUGGUGUAGAGUAGAGAACAGUAGAGUGGUGUAGAGGAGAGAACAGUAGAGUGGUGUAGGAUAGAGAACAGUAGAGUAGAGAACAGUAGAAUGGUGUAGAAUAUGUUUAGGGGAGGGAAUGUUCUGUAGUAGUGUAUGUGUAGGGAUUGUUCUGUAGUAGUGUAUGUGAAGGGGAGGGAAAGUUCUGUAGUAGUGUAUGUGUAGGGGAGGGAAUGUUCUGUAGUAGUGUAUGUGUAGGGGAGGGAAUGUUCUGUAGUAGUGUAUGUGUAGGGGAGGGAAUGUUCUGUAGUAGUGUAUGUGUAGGGGAGGGAAUGUUCUGUAGUAGUGUAUGUGUAGGGGAGGGAAUGUUCUGUAGUAGUGUAUGUGUAGGGGAGGGAAUGUUCUGUAGUAGUGUAUGUGUAGGGAAUGUUCUGUAGUAGUGUAUGUGUAGGGAAUGUUCUGUAGUAGUGUAUGUGUAGGGAAUGUUCUGUAGUAGUGUAUGUGUAGGGGAGGGAAUGUUCUGUAGUAGUGUAUGUGUAGGGGAGGGAAUGUUCUGUAGUAGUGUAUGUGUAGGGGAGGGAAUGUUCUGUAGUAGUGUAUGUGUAGGGAAUGUUCUGUAGUAGUGUAUGUGUAGGGAAUGUUAUGUAGUAGUGUAUGUGUAGGGGAGGGAAUGUUCUGUAGUAGUGUAUGUGUAGGGGAGGGAAUGUUCUGUAGUAGUGUAUGUGUAGGGGAGGGAAUGUUCUGUAGUAGUGUAUGUGUAGGGAAUGUUCUGUAGUAGUGUAUGUGUAGGGGAGGGAAUGUUCUGUAGUAGUGUAUGUGUAGGGGAGGGAAUGUUCUGUAGUAGUGUAUGUGUAGGGGAGGGAAUGUUCUGUAAUAGUGUAUGUGUAGGGGAGGGAAUGUUCUGUAGUAGUGUAUCUGGAGGGGAGGGAAUGUUCUGUAGUAGUGUAUGUGUAGGGUAGGGAAUGUUCUGUAGUAGUGUAUGUGUAGGGGAGGGAAUGUUCUGUAGUAGUGUAUGUGGAGGGGAGGGAAUGUUCUGUAGUAGUGUAUGUGUAGGGGAGGGAAUGUUCUGUAGUAGUGUAUGUGUAGGGGAGGGAAUGUUCAGUAGUAGUGUAUGUGUUGGGGAGGGAAUGUUCUGUAGUAGUGUAUGUGUAGGGGAGGGAAUGUUCUGUAGUAGUGUAUGUGUAGGGAAUGUUCUGUAGUAGUGUAUGUGUAGGGGAGGGAAUGUUCUGUAGUAGUGUAUGUGUAGGGGAGGGAAUGUUCAGUAGUAGUGUAUGUGUUGGGGAGGGAAUGUUCUGUAGUAGUGUAUGUGAAGGGGAGGGAAUGUUCUGUAGUAGUGUAUGUGUAGGGGAGGGAAUGUUCUGUAGUAUGUGUAGGGGAGGGAAUGUUCUGUAGUAGUGUAUGUGUAGGGAAUGUUCUGUAGUAGUGUAUGUGUAGGGGAGGGAAUGUUCUGUAGUAGUGUAUGUGUAGGGGAGGGAAUGUUCAGUAGUAGUGUAUGUGUUGGGGAGGGAAUGUUCUGUACUAGUGUAUGUGAAGGGGAGGGAAUGUUCUGUAGUAGUGUAUGUGUAGGGGAAGGGAAUGUUCUGUAGUUUGUGUAGGGUAGGGAAUGUUCUGUAGUAGUGUAUGUGUAGGGGAGGGAAUGUUCUGUAGUAGUGUAUGUGUAGGGGAGGGAAUGUUCUGUAGUAGUGUAUGUGUAGGGGAGGGAAUGUUCUGUAGUAGUGUAUGUGUAGGGAAUGUUCUGUAGUAGUGUAUAUCUAGGGAAUGUUCUGUAGUAGUGUAUGUGUAGCGGAGGGAAUGUUCUGUAGUAGUGCAUGUGUAGGGGAGGGAAUGUUCUGUAGUAGUGUAUGUGUAGGGGAGGGAAUGUUCUGUAGUAGUGUAUGUGUAGGGGAGGCAAUGUUCAGUAGUAGUGUAUGUGUAGGGGAGGGAAUGUUCUGUAGUAGUGUAUGUGUAGGGGUGGCAAUGUUCAGUAGUAGUGUAUGUGUUGGGAAGGGAAUGUUCUGUAGUAGUGUAUGUGUAGGGGAGGGAAUGUUCUGUAGUAGUGUAUGUGUAGGGAAUGUUCUGUAGUAGUGUAUGUGUAGGGGAGGGAAUGUUCUGUAGUAGUGUAUGUGUAGGGGAGGGAAUGUUCUGUAGUAGUGUAUGUGUAGGGGAGGGAAUGUUCUGUAGUAGUGUAUGUGUAGGGGAGGGAAUGUUCUGUAGUAGUGUAUGUGUAGGGGAGGGAAUGUUCUGUAGUAGUGUAUGUGUAGGGAAUGUUCUGUAGUAGUGUAUGUGUAGGGAAUGUUAUGUAGUAGUGUAUGUGUAGGGGAGGGAAUGUUCUGUAGUAGUGUAUGUGUAGGGAAUGUUCUAUAGUAGUGUAUGUGUAGGGUAGGGAAUGUUCUGUAGUAGUGUAUGUGUAGGGAAUGUUCUGUAGUAGUGUAUGUGUAGGGGAGGGAAUGUUCUGUAGUAGUGUAUGUGUAGCGGAGGGAAUGUUCUGUAGUAGUGUAUGUGUAGGGGAGGGAAUGUUCUGUAGUAUUGUAUGUGUAGGGAAUGUUCUCUAGUAGUGUAUGUGUAGGGGAGGAGAUGUUCUAUAGUAGUGUAUGUGUAGGGUAGGGAAUGUUCUGUAGUAGUGUAUGUGUAGGGUAGGGAAUGUUCUGUCGUAGUGUAUGUGUAGGGGAGGGAAUGUUCUGUAGUAGUGUAUGUGUAGGGGAGGGAAUGUUCUGUAGUAGUGUAUGUGUAGGGAACGUUCUGUAGUCGUGUAUGUGUAGGGAAUGUUCUGUAGUAGUCUAUGUGUAGGGGAGGGAAUGUUCUGUAGUAGUGUAUGUGUAGGGAAUGUUCUGUAGUAGUGUAUGUGUAGGGGAGGGAAUGUUCUGUAAUAGUGUAUGUGUAGGGGAGGGAAUGUUCUGUAGUAGUGUAUGUGUAGGGGAGGGAAUGUUCUGUAGUAGUGUAUGUGAAGGGGAGGGAAUGUUAUGUAGUAGUGUAUGUGUAGGGGAGGGAAUGUUCUGUAGUAGUGUAUGUGUAGGGGAGGGAAUGUUCUGUAGUAGUGUAUGUGUAGGGGAGGCAAUGUUCAGUAGUAGUGUAUGUGUUGGGAAGGGAAUGUUCUGUAGUAGUGUAUGUGUAGGGGAGGGAAUGUUCUGUAGUAGUGUAUGUGUAGGGAAUGUUCUGUAGUAGUGUAUGUGUAGGGGAGGGAAUGUUCUGUAGUAGUGUAUGUGUAGGGGAGGGAAUGUUCUGUAGUAGUGUAUGUGUAGGGGAGGGAAUGUUCUGUACUAGUGUAUGUGUAGGGUAGGGAAUGUUCUGUAAUAGUGUAUGUGUAGGGGAGGGAAUGUUCUGUAGUAGUGUAUGUGUAGGGUAGGGAAUGUUCUGUAGUAGUGUAUGUGUAGGGGAGGGAAUGUUCUGUAGUAGUGUAUGUGUAGGGGAGGGAAUGUACUGUAGUAGUGUAUGUGUAGGGGAGGGAAUGUUCUGUAGUAGUGUAUGUGUAGUGGAGGGAAUGUUCUGUAGUAGUGUAUUUGGAGGGGAGGGAAUGUUCUGUAGUAUUGUAUGUGUAGGGGAGGGAAUGUUCUGUAGUAGUGUAUGUGUAGGGGAGGGAAUGUUCAGUAGUAGUGUAUGUGUUGGGGAGGUAAUGUUCUGUAGUAGUGUAUGUGUAGGGGAGGGAAUGUUCUGUAGUAGUGUAUGUGUAGGGGAGGGAAUGUUCUGUAGUAGUGUAUGUGGAGGGGAUGUUCUGUAGUAGUGUAUGUGUAGGGGAGGGAAUGUUCUGUAGUAGUGUAUGUGUAGGGGAGGGAAUGUUCUGUAGUAGUGUAUGUGUAGGGGAGGGAAUGUUCUGUAGUAGUGUAUGUGUAGGGGAGGGAAUGUUCUGUAGUAGUGUAUGUGUAUGUGUAGGGAAUCUUCUGUAGUAGUGUAUGUGUAGGGGAGGGAAUGUUCUGUAGUAGUGUAUGUAUAGGGAAUGUUCUGUAGUAGUGUAUGUGUAGGGAAUGUUCUGUAGUAGUGUAUGUGUAGGGGAGGGAAUGUUCUGUAGUAGUGUAUGUGUAGGGAAUGUUCUGUAGUAGUGUAUAUCUAGGGAAUGUUCUGUAGUAGUGUAUGUGUAGGGUAGGGAAUGUUCUGUAGUAGUGUAUGUGUAGGGGAGGGAAUGUUCUGUAGUAGUGUAUGUGUAGGGGAGGGAAUGUUCUGUAGUAGUGUAUGUGUAGGGAAUGUUCUGUAGUAGUGUAUGUGUAGGGGAGGGAAUGUUCUGUAGUAGUGUAUGUGGAGGGGAAUGUUCUGUAGUAGUGUAUGUGUAGG
rnacentral:lncRNA from 1 species